AUUGAACGCUGGCGGCAGGCCUAACACAUGCAAGUCGAACGAGUGGCGGACGGGUGAGUAAUGUCUGGGAAACUGCCUGAUGGAGGGGGAUAACUACUGGAACCGGUAGCUAAUACCGCAUACCAUCAGAUGUGCCAAGAUGGGAUUAGCUAGUUGGUGGGGUAACGGCUCACCAAGGCGACGAUCCCUAGCUGGUCUGAGAGGAUGACCAGCCACACUGUAACUUAGACACGGUCCAGACUCCUACGUGAGGCAGCAGGGGGGAAGAUUGCACAAUGGGCGGAAGCCUGAUGCAGCCAUGCCGCGUGUAUGAAGAAGGCCUUCGGGUUGUAAAGGACUUUCAGCUGGGAGGCGUUACCCGCAGAAGAAGCACCGGCUAACUCCGUGCCAGCAGCCGCGGUAAUAC
rnacentral:rRNA from 1 species